rnacentral:rRNA from 1 species
UACAGAGGUCUCAAGCGUUGUUCGGAUUCAUUGGGCGUAAAGGGUGCGUAGGCGGCGUCGUAAGUCGGGUGUGAAAUCUCGGGGCUCAACUCCGAAAUUGCAUUCGAUACUGCGGUGCUCGAGGACUGGAGAGGAGACUGGAAUUCACGGUGUAGCAGUGAAAUGCGUAGAUAUCGUGAGGAAGACCGGUGGCGAAGGCGGGUCUCUGGACAGUUCCUGACGCUGAGGCACGAAGGCCAGGGGAGCAAACGGG